rnacentral:lncRNA from 1 species
CUGGCUAGAUUUGGAACCCAAUAGGUUAUACACUUUAGGAUUUGAUCUUAAUCUGAUUUAAUUAGGAUUUAAUAUAAAUCUUAGAGGUUAAUUUAAUUUGCUAGCACAUUGUGUUAAUCCAAGUUUUUAAUUAUGUUAAGUUCAAAGUGUUUGAGCUAAAUCAAAUCUGUUGCCUUUGAUCUAACUGGAUUAGGUUUAUUUUAAUUGGACUCCCAUCUAACUUAGUAGAGUUUUAAGUGUGGAAGGACUCCUCCACACCACCCUGGUGUUCACACCAAAAAUUAAUGUCGCCACCCUCUUUUUUGUGUUAAGAAGAGAAAGAGUUCUUCUUC